CGCAGCAAGCAGCAGCCCAUGACUGCUGAGUUUGUUUUCCAGUUUCCUUUGCGAUCGAUCGUAGGCGCACAUCACCCCCGCAGAGAGAGAUCCAUACUCGACCUGUGUUUUAAAAAAAAAGAUCUAUGCUCGACCUGGCUCUGCAUAACCAUCGUCGCCGAAGCCGGUAUUAUAGCGCACAACGCCGUGUUGUUUCUUCCGCAGUCCACGCCUAAUUCCCGUCCCUAUCCGCAACCGCGUCAAGGCCACUACCGCCGAUGGAGGAGGAGCAUGCAAAUAGGCUCGUUAUAACUUAUAAGGCUCUGGUAACUUGGUAAGGAUGGAAUUGAAUCCUGUAGGGUUGUAUAUGGAUUCCGUAGUCCACGCCAAACUCCAGUUUCCUUCGCUUCUUAUUGAAUCGGGUAUGGUUGUUUGGAUUUUAAGAUAUCUAUCUAAACUUUCUUACUCCCGGCGGAAAGAUUGUAGUUGGCACGAGCAGGAUUUUCGCUUGGCAUUCAAAAAUUGUGAGCCAUUAUGUCAUAGUUUGAUUACAAAAAUUGGAAUACGGGAUGACGCAUGUCUCCUAAAUCAAGAUUAAUCAGUAAGCUGUGUCAAAUUAUUUAUUAACUCGAUAAUCACUUUUUAUGGUUUUGUGAUGAUGCUGUAGAAACAUUAUAUACAAGGCACACUGAUGGUUAGGUCUCCGGGAUCAAAGUGGAUAGAAAAAGUUGCUUUUGGUCCUGCAGGUCUUACAAGAUGUUUCUAAUGCUUAGGGAAGAAAACAUUUUAUCAAGGACAUGUACAAGGAAGCCCUCCGUGUGUUGAUGAUGCUCGAGUGUAUCCCUUUGAGGCCGCGUGGAGGAUUGGAGAGGGAAGCCGGCACGAGCUGGAAGCUCCGGCGGCCACCGUAGGGUGAGCGGAAGAGACGGGCAACGCACUCUCCAUAGUGGAGAGGGGAGGCUCUGCGGGCAGCGGCGAGAGCGGACGCUGUGCGGGCAGCGGUAGCUGUCUUGGAAUCGUCUGGUUGUUCUGAUGGAGGGUUGAGUGCAAUAGUAGAUCGCAUUGUAUAGGCUAAUCUCUGGACAGGUUGGGACAUCUGGAAGACCAAAAAAAUAUCUCUUCUUUCUAA